rnacentral:rRNA from 1 species
CCUACGGGGUGCUGCAGUGGGGAAUAUUGGACAAUGGGCGAAAGCCUGAUCCAGCCAUGCCGCGUGUGUGAAGAAGGCCUUCGGGUUGUAAAGCACUUUCAGUGGGGAAGAAAGCCUUGGGGCUAAUACCCUCGAGGAAGGACAUCACCCACAGAAGAAGCACCGGCUAACUCCGUGCCAGCAGCCGCGGUAAUACGGAGGGUGCGAGCGUUAAUCGGAAUUACUGGGCGUAAAGCGCGCGUAGGCGGUCUGAUAAGCCGGUUGUGAAAGCCCCGGGCUCAACCUGGGAACGGCAUCCGGAACUGUCAGGCUAGAGUGCAGGAGAGGAAGGUAGAAUUCCCGGUGUAGCGGUGAAAUGCGUAGAGAUCGGGAGGAAUACCAGUGGCGAAGGCGGCCUUCUGGACUGACACUGACGCUGAGGUGCGAAAGCGUGGGUAGCAAACAGGAUUAGAUACCCGAGUAGUC